GACGAACGCUGGCGGCGUGCUUAAUACAUGCAAGUCGAGCGGAAAGGCGCUGCUUUUGUGGGGUGCUCGAGUGGCGAACGCGUGAGUAUCACGUGAGUAACCUGCCCUUGACUUUGUGAUAACUUCAGGAAACUGGGGCUAAUACCGGGUAGGAGCUCCUGCUGCAUGGUGGUGGUUGGAGAGUUUCGGCGGUUGGGGAUGGACUCGCUGCUUAUCAGCUUGUUGGUGUGGUAGUGGCUGACAAAGGGUUUGACGGGUAGCCCGCCUGAGAGGGUGAACGGCGACAUUGGUACUGCGAUAGGGCGCAGACGCGUACGGGACGCAGCAGUCGGGAACAUGGCACAAUGGGCGGAAGCCUGAUGCAGCAGCGCCGCGUGCGGGAAGACGGCCUACUAGUUGUGAACAGCUUUCGCCUGUGACGAAGCGUGAGUGACGGUACUGGGUAAAGAAGCACCGGCUAACUACGUG
rnacentral:rRNA from 1 species